rnacentral:rRNA from 1 species
GUGCAGCAGUCGCGAAAACUUCACAAUGGGAGCAAUCCCGAUGAGGGAAUUCCAAGUGCCAACACACUGUGUUGGCUGUUCUCCUGUCUAAAAAGCAGGAGAAGUAAGGGCCGGGUAAGACGGGUGCCAGCCGCCGCGGUAAUACCCGCGGCCCGAGUGGUGGUCGAUAUUAUUGAGCCUAAAACGUCCGUAGCCGGUCUCGUAAAUCCCUGGGUAAAUCGGCCAGCUUAACUGUCCGAAUUACGGGGAGACUGCGGGACUUGGGACCGGGAGAGGUCAGAGGUACGUCCGGGGUAGGGGUAAAAUCCUGUAAUCCUAGGAGGACCACCAGUGGCGAAAGCGUCCAACUAGAACGGAUCCGACGGUAAGGGACGAAGCCCUGGGGCGCAAACGGGAUUAGAUACCCCGGUAGUCC